CGCAGGCGGUCUUGUCCGUCAGGUGUGAAAGCUCGGGGCUCAACCCCGGAAGUGCACUUGAAACAGCAAGACUUGAAUACGGGAGAGGAGAGAGGAAUUCCUGGUGUAGAGGUGAAAUUCGUAGAUAUCAGGAGGAACACCGAUGGCGAAGGCAUCUCUCUGGACCGAUAUUGACGCUGAGGCGCGAAGGCGUGGGUAGCGAACG
rnacentral:rRNA from 1 species